AGUUGUUUAUUGCAGAUCUGAAGGGGGAAGGUUUCUUUGCUCCCUUAUUUGGAUUGAAAACAAGCACAUAAUGUUGGGUGUGAAUCGGUUUCCGACAUCGCGUUUAUUCAGGUGGAUGGCCUUGCGCCACUCUUCCAGCAACCUUUUUGUUGGAGGUAUCCCAUCCCUUUUUCUCUCUUUAUGUGUUUAACUAUAGUAUUGGUUUUAAAAAGCACCUCUGAGGCGCGAUGUGACAAGUUAUGCACAUAUGGGUCUGAAUUGGAGUCUGUAAGAGGCUGGUUUGUGAAAACAAGCAUACGUGCAGAAGACGUUAUGAAUGGCGACUUACUUGAUAAGAAGACUAAUAUAUAAAGGAGAUGAGAGAAAUACGAGUCCGGCUGUACAUAGAGCAAUGCCUCACGUACGUGAAGCUCUUAUCUCUUGCCUCGCGCCUCAUCUUUUGGGACCUAAACAUCUCAGAGUGCUCCACGCUUUUCAAAACCAAGUUUAUAGUAGUGAAACAUGUCUUAAUAUAUGUUUUUAGGAAGCAUGACAAAUCUGAGAAAAGAGUUUGGGUCCUUGGGAUUAUUAGAUAUAUUGUAGAACAUCAUGCUUGUUGUCAUUUCUUUUUUUUCGUAAUAAUAUAUGUAUGGGCACAGGCUUUUCCUGUGAUACAAAUGAACCUGUGUUGAAAGAGGUUUUUGGGCAUUAUGGAGAAAUUAUUGAAGCAAAAGUUAUAUGUGAUCACAAGAGUGGCAAAUCAAAAGGAUAUGGAUUUGUGCAUUUCAUUUCUAAAGAUUCUGACAGCAAAGCCUUAGCAGAAAUGGAUGGUCAGGUACAUUG